rnacentral:rRNA from 1 species
AUGAACGCUAGCGACAGGCUUAACACAUGCAAGUCGAGGGGCAGCGGGGGUAGCGAUACCCGCCGGCGACCGGCGCACGGGUGAGUAACGCGUAUGCAACUUGCCUAUCAGAGGGGGAUAACCCGGCGAAAGUCGGACUAAUACCGCAUGAAGCAGGGAUCCCGCAUGGGAAUAUUUGCUAAAGAUUCAUCGCUGAUAGAUAGGCAUGCGUUCCAUUAGGCAGUUGGCGGGGUAACGGCCCACCAAACCGACGAUGGAUAGGGGUUCUGAGAGGAAGGUCCCCCACAUUGGUACUGAGACACGGACCAAACUCCUACGGGAGGCAGCAGUGAGGAAUAUUGGUCAAUGGCCGAGAGGCUGAACCAGCCAAGUCGCGUGAGGGAUGAAGGUUCUAUGGAUCGUAAACCUCUUUUAUAAGGGAAUAAAGUGCGGGACGUGUCCCGUUUUGUAUGUACCUUAUGAAUAAGGAUCGGCUAACUCCGUGCCAGCAGCCGCGGUAAUACGGAGGAUCCGAGCGUUAUCCGGAUUUAUUGGGUUUAAAGGGUGCGUAGGCGGCCUUUUAAGUCAGCGGUGAAAGUCUGUGGCUCAACCAUAGAAUUGCCGUUGAAACUGGGGGGCUUGAGUAUGUUUGAGGCAGGCGGAAUGCGUGGUGUAGCGGUGAAAUGCAUAGAUAUCACGCAGAACCCCGAUUGCGAAGGCAGCCUGCCAAGCCAUGACUGACGCUGAUGCACGAAAGCGUGGGGAUCAAACAGGAUUAGAUACCCUGGUAGUCCACGCCGUAAACGAUGGAUACUAGGUGUAGGAGGUAUCGAACCCUUCUGUGCCGGAGUUAACACAAUAAGUAUCCCACCUGGGGAGUACGGUCGCAAGAUUGAAACUCAAAGGAAUUGACGGGGGCCCGCACAAGCGGAGGAACAUGUGGUUUAAUUCGAUGAUACGCGAGGAACCUUACCCGGGUUUGAACGCAUUCGGACCGAGGUGGAAACACCUUUUCUAGCAAUAGCCGUUUGCGAGGUGCUGCAUGGUUGUCGUCAGCUCGUGCCGUGAGGUGUCGGCUUAAGUGCCAUAACGAGCGCAACCCUUGCCACUAGUUACUAACAGGUAAAGCUGAGGACUCUGGUGGGACUGCCAGCGUAAGCUGCGAGGAAGGCGGGGAUGACGUCAAAUCAGCACGGCCCUUACAUCCGGGGCGACACACGUGUUACAAUGGCGUGGACAAAGGGAGGCCACCUGGCGACAGGGAGCGAAUCCCCAAACCACGUCUCAGUUCGGAUCGGAGUCUGCAACCCGACUCCGUGAAGCUGGAUUCGCUAGUAAUCGCGCAUCAGCCAUGGCGCGGUGAAUACGUUCCCGGGCCUUGUACACACCGCCCGUCAAGCCAUGGGAGCCGGGGGUACCUGAAGUCCGUAACCGCGAGGAUCGGCCUAGGGUAAAACUGGUGACUGGGGCU